GAUGAACGCUGGCGGCGUGCCUAAUACAUGCAAGUCGAGCGAACAGACGAGGAGCUUGCUCCUCUAACGUUAGCGGCGGACGGGUGAGUAACACGUGGAUAACCUACCUAUAAGACUGGGAUAACUUCGGGAAACCGUAGCUAAUACCGGAUAAUAUAUUGAACCGCAUGGUUCAAUAGUGAAAGACGGUUUUGCUGUCACUUAUAGAUGGAGCCGCGGCGGAUUAGCUAGUUGGUAAGGUAACGGCUUACCAAGGCAACGAUGCGUAGCCGACCUGAGAGGGUGACCGGCCACACUGGAACUGAGGCACGGUCCAGACUCCUACGGGAGGCAGCAGUAGGGAAUCUUCCGCAAUGGGCGAAAGCCUGACGGAGCAACGCCGCGUGAGUGAUGAAGGUCUUCGGAUCGUAAACCUCUGUUAUUAGGGAAGAACAAAUGUGUAAGUAACUAUGCACGUCUUGACGGUACCUAAUCAGAAAGCCACGGCUAACUACGUG
rnacentral:rRNA from 1 species